AUCGAGUACCCGGAUACCCGUUUAAAAAAAUAAAAAUAAAGAAGUUAACAGCCACUGCCAGCCCAGCCCACUUACUAAACCUAGGGUUCCAAACUUCCAAUAACUCCCAAAAAGAAAAAAACACGCAGUCUUCUUCUUCUCUCUCUUGCGCCUCAUCCCUACUGCUCUACAUUUCCUCAAACUUCUGUCGAUUCCGUCAAAAAAUCAAUCAAAUUCGACUCGAUUCAUCCUCAAACUUCAGAUCUAAAUCAUUUCGUUGUCCUGUUCAUUUUCUUCUCACCACCUCAGGAAUGAAAGACUUGGUUUUGGAGCAACCGACUAUUGUUAUUGAUGAAACAAUGGAAAUUUCGGAUCUCAUAAGUGAUUGAAUGUUAUGUAACAUACGUUGUUAAUUGUUAUGUAACAUAGGUUGUUAAUUGUUGACUUAAACUUAAACAUACGAGUCCCUCUUGUUGUAAUCUGUAUUAGCAGAAAUCUUUUGAGACUUUAUGGCGAGACAUGUUCUGCUGUCCAUUGGUGUUUA